rnacentral:lncRNA from 1 species
AAAAAGCUUGAUAAUGCUUGAAUCAUCUCAGAUCUAGAAAGAUCUGAGAAAAAUCGAACCAUAACGACUUUAGGGUUUUGGAAAAUAUUAAAGUUGAAGAAAAAUUGGUUAAAACGCAUGGAUACACCUGGAUCUAAGACAUAUCUAAAGAAAAGUUAAAAAUAUCAAGAGAUGGGGUUUCAGAAAACCUUGAGAAGAUGAGAAAACUUUAGAACGUUACCGGUUUUAGCCGGAAAAGUCAUAUCCUACUCGAACAACCAUAGAUUGUUGGAAAAUGGCAUAGAAGACCGUGGAUAGACUCUCGAAGAGUAUUCAAGAAGGUAUGGACUAGAUCUCUUCGAGAUCAUUCCAUGAAAUCAUAAAAACAAGCAACCAGGAGACGUAGGAGACAUGUAUAUGUCUCAAACAACCUUAGAAACCUAUGAAUCUAGUGAGGAUCGAAAGGAUUAAGUUGGUUUUAGGUGGCGGAGACUAGUGUUAGGUUUAGGUCUCAGAGAGAAUUAGAGGGGAGGAGAUUUAAAAG